CGGGAAGUAGCGCAGCCUGGUUAGCGCACUAUUCUGGGGGGAUAGGGGUCGGCGGUUCGAAUCCGCUCUUCCCGACCA
rnacentral:tRNA from 2 species